UAGGACGCAGGAAAAAGAUAAUGAAAGGAAUGAGGGGGUUGACAGGGCGACAGCUGGAAAUGAGUCUUUCCCAGCCCCUUCCUCCUGGCCAAAGAUGGCAGAAACCAAGGGAAGACACUAAAUAGUGGUUAGGAGAGCAAAUGGGGAGACAGAGAGGGGGUGAUGAACGAAGCAGCCCCUUCCUUAGCACCCCAACCAGGGUGACAGAACUCAGGAGUCCCAGCCCCAGCCGCUCUUGCUGCCUUAAAAACAGCCCCCUCCCCUGCGACCCUGCUCCCUGGAAUCCAGAACCACCCUCUCAAGCCCAGGGCAGGGAUAACAAGGUGUGGUCUCAGUACCCAACAGCCAGAGUCUGUGACUCCUGGGUCCCUGCCAUCUGUCUCCUCCAAAACCAGUCCAGACUGUUUAGCUACAAGGCCGACCUCCUCCCUCCUUCUCCAUUCAGUUACUGGUAGCAGAAGCCGGUGCCCGGGAAGGGAUUUGUUUGUUGGCAAGUGUGACCAGCUGGACAUUUCCCUUCCCAUCCACUCCAGUGACUCAAGGAAAAAGAACAAAGAUCCCAUCGAUCAGCACCCCUUCCCCUCUGGAGGAGGGAGUGAACUGGGUUCUCAUUUUUUUUUCUUGUAUCAUUCCCGCGUCAUUGUCAGAUAACCUGGACUCUGACAGAUCCAAGAACUAUCACUUGGUGACCAUCUUUGCUCCAGUCAGAGGCGGCUUGAGGAUGUACACCCUGAACCAGUCCACUCCAGGAGAGGGGACUCUGGACUACUUCCACCCAAGACAAAGAGCAGAGGACAAGCAGAGAGGACAGAGCCACCCUGGCAAGCUCAGCCCCUUUUCCCUGCAGAGAGCACUUACCUGGAUGUGGCAUCCCACCCGGUGGGAAUGGGUGAGGAUGUGAAUGCCCGUGACCAGGAUGCCCAGCUCCUGGAGUUCCUGCUGCCGGGGGCCCAUGUCCUCCAGCCCCAGGUGGCAUAGGUGGUGGGGGCAUGGCUGGGGGUAUCCCAGGAGGAAGGGCUCCAGGAGGCGGCACUGGGGGUGGGAAGGAGCCAGGAGGAGGCAUGCCUGUAGAGGAAAUGAGAGUUCAUGGUGAGGAAGAACACCUUACAGAGCACCAGCCUCCCCCGGAAACCCAAUGUCUUCACUACGACCACCACACCUCACUCCUUUCUCAUUGGCCACUGACUGAACUGACUCCUUCAGGGGUUUUUCUGCCUCCUGACCCUCCCGCCCAAGGGCCUCACUGGUGUAGUUUAAACUAAAAGCUUUACCUGGUGGAGGAAGGCCAGAACCCAGGGAUGAAACCACAGGGUUGGGGGCAGAGGGUGGAGGGGGGGCAUCUGCAAACAGCUGAUGAGGGCGGUCAGCCUGGGACAGUGGGUUCUGGGCUGCCAGAAGUCGUUCAGCUGCUGAGCCAUGGCGCUCGCCCUUAGAGUCCUUCUUGAAGGCGUAAGACACAGUGAUAGGGCGGUUGCAGAGGUACUGCCCAUUCAUGGCCUCAAUCGCUGCAUCCGAAGCGUCGAACGAAGCAAAAUUAAUGAAGGCAUAACCCUUGGAGUUGCCUGUGUCGGGGUCCCGCAUAAUCUUGGGGGUUUGUAAGAUGACCCCAAAGGCGCUGAAAGUAUCAUAAAGCAGCUUCUCAUCGAUUUCUGGGUCCAGGUUCCCGAUGAAAAUGUUGGCUCCUACAUCCAGGUUUUUGUUGUGAGCUGAAGCCUUGUUCACCCGUAUCGGCUUCCCAUAGAGUUUGAUCAUGUUCAUAAUCUUAAUGGCAUAGUCAGCAUCUUCCUCGCUCAAGAAUUCAACAAAGCCAUAGCCUGGGAAAUGGAAGAAAAGAGGGCUACUCAGGUGAAGAGAUUCAAAAGGAAGCAUGAACUCACUAGCCGCCAAACAAAGAACAAGAUGGAAGAAUCUCGCUUCACUUGAGAACCGUCCCAGUAACCUCAGACUAGAGCUAAGAGAACACACUCCAGAAACAAACUGUGAACUGGACCUCGGGGAAAGAAGUCUUUAGGUUGCUCAUUCCAAGAGUUAUGACCAGUGCUGAGACCCCUCCGGGGCCGUGAACCCCAUGCAAGGUUACCUCUUGCCAAACACUCACCUUGGUGCUGGCCAGUGACUCUAUCCUUUGGCAUGUGGGUGUUGACCACUGGCCCAGCCUGGAGAAAGAGCUCCCACAGCAGCGGCUCACUUACUUUCUCGUCCAGACCUCCCACGUACACCGUGGCAUCUAAGGCGGCGAGGGAGCAGAAGGUAAGCACAGGGUCAGAAAACAAAAGAAACGCUAACUGAAGCCCCGCGCCCACCGCCUGCCUGCCUGGUCUACAAAGCCCGCUGACGUCUAACGAGGCGUUCUUGCUGAUGCUGGACUUCCGGGUGGCGCUCUGUGGGUCUGUCCGGCGGUGGGAGCAGGGGGCACGAGGGAGCUGGAUGCAGAAGCAUCGCCCCGAACAGGCCUCGCUCGGCCUGCACCCGCCUUCGGCCCGGCCCGCAGCGGCUGGCCUCACACCCGGGGCAUCUAGUCUCCCACCCUGGCGGAAGCGCCCCGGGCACUCAUCUGCCCUCCACCUCCCCUGGGCCCAUCUUGGGCUCUUCUCUCCCAGUUACCCUGAUUUCGUUCGGAGAUCGGCCCGGCAGCCAUGGCGAAAAGGCUCCCGCCGUCUCUAAGCAGCAGCACCGCCCUCUGACCUCAGUUACUACUUCCACUUCCGGGCCACGGCUCGCGUUGGGCGGGGCCGGCCGCAGGGGAGGAGCCGGAAGGCGUCGCGGCCAUCUUAGGAGUCGGGCUCGUGUCUGGGAAGACAGGCUGGGUCUGUCCAGACACCCGGGGCGGGGCAGGAGCACGCCGCCCCUCUUGAUGCCGCUCUCGACUGUCAGGGGCUCACAUUGCUCCCCAAGUGCAAAUGCAAGUGCUGAGCCAAGCUUCGCCGGUACCGAAGCCUGAAGAGGCCCGUCUGGCCCGGCGGUGGUGGUGCACGCCUCUGAUCUCAGCUCUCUGGAGGCAGAGG